rnacentral:rRNA from 1 species
UCCCCACUCAAGCCUCGCUUGGUAUUGGGCGCCGCGGUGUUCCGCGCGCCUCAAAGUCUCCGGCUGAACUGUCCGUCUCUAAACGUUGUGAUUUCAUUAAUCGCUUCCGAACGCGGGCGGUCGCGGCCGUUAAAUCUUUUCCAAGGUUGACCUCGGAUCCAGGUAGGAUACCCGCUGAACUUAAGCAUAUCAAUAAGCGGAAGAA